UAUAAUCUUCGGGAGAGGGUGAAAUUCCCCACCGGCGGUAUAGUCCGCGAGCUCUCAUAAAAGAGGGCAGACUUGGCGCGAUUCCAGGACCGAUUGUGAAAGGCUAGAUGGGAGAAGAUAAGU
rnacentral:ncRNA from 2 species